rnacentral:rRNA from 1 species
AUUGAACGCUGGCGGCAUGCCUUACACAUGCAAGUCGAACGGUAACAGGUCUUCGGAUACUGACGAGUGGCGAACGGGUGAGUAAUACAUCGGAACGUGCCCGAGAGUGGGGGAUAACGAAGCGAAAGCUUUGCUAAUACCGCAUACGAUCUCAGGAUGAAAGCAGGGGACCGCAAGGCCUUGCGCUCACGGAGCUGCCGAUGGCAGAUUAGGUAGUUGGUGGGAUAAAAGCUUACCAAGCCGACGAUCUGUAGCUGGUCUGAGAGGACGACCAGCCACACUGGGACUGAGACACGGCCCAGACUCCUACGGGAGGCAGCAGUGGGGAAUUUUGGACAAUGGGCGAAAGCCUGAUCCAGCCGUGCCGCGUGCAGGAUGAAGGCCUUCGGGUUGUAAACUGCUUUUGUACGGAACGAAAAGACUCUGGUUAAUACCUGGAGUCCAUGACGGUACCGUAAGAAUAAGCACCGGCUAACUACGUGCCAGCCGCCGCGGUAAUAC